UGGGGAAUCAUGGUCAAUGGGCGAAAGCCUGAACCUGCGACGCCGCGUGAGUGAUGAAGGUCGUAAGAUCGUAAAACUCUUUUCAGGGAUCUUAAAGCCUGUCUGUCAACAACAGGCAGGUCUGACUCUCCCUGGAAGAAGCCCCAGCCAACUACGUGCCAGCAGCUGCGGUAAUACGUAGGGGGCGGGCGUUAUUCGGAAUUACUGGGUGGAAAGGGUAUGUAGGAGGCCCUUCAAGUAGCGUGUCAAAGUCCAGUGCUCAACGCUGG
rnacentral:rRNA from 1 species